AUUGAACGCUGGCGGCAUGCUUUACACAUGCAAGUCGAACGGUAACAGGUCUUCGGAUGCUGACGAGUGGCGAACGGGUGAGUAAUGCAUCGGAACGUGCCCAGUCGUGGGGGAUAACGCAGCGAAAGCUGCGCUAAUACCGCAUACGAUCUAUGGAUGAAAGCGGGGGACCGUAAGGCCUCGCGCGAUUGGAGCGGCCGAUGUCAGAUUAGGUAGUUGGUGGGGUAAAGGCCCACCAAGCCAACGAUCUGUAGCUGGUCUGAGAGGACGACCAGCCACACUGGGACUGAGACACGGCCCAGACUCCUACGGGAGGCAGCAGUGGGGAAUUUUGGACAAUGGGCGCAAGCCUGAUCCAGCAAUGCCGCGUGCAGGAAGAAGGCCUUCGGGUUGUAAACUGCUUUUGUACGGAACGAAACGGCUCUCUCUAAUACAGAGGGCUAAUGACGGUACCGUAAGAAUAAGCACCGGCUAACUACGUGCCAGCCGCCGCCGUAAAAC
rnacentral:rRNA from 1 species